rnacentral:rRNA from 1 species
UGUCCCUACCUACUAUCUAGCGAAACCACGGCCAAGGGAACGGGCUUGGAAGAAUCAGCGGGGAAAGAAGACCCUGUUGAGCUUGACUCUAGUCUGGUACUGUAAGGAGACAUGAGAGGUGUAGCAUAAGUGGGAGGCGAUUGUCGCCGACAGUGAAAUACCACUACUUUCAUCGUUUCCUUACUUACUCGGUGAGGCGGAGGGCGUCCGUCGGAGUGUCUGCACUCCGGCGUGACGGUAUUCUCGCGCCAAGCGCCAAGGGUUGUCGGCGGCCGGUCGGUCGUAGGGAGGCCCGCGGCAGUCCGCUUCACGGCGGUUCUGUCGUGCGUGUCGUCCUUGCGCUCUCGGUCGCGCCGUCCGGCAACACACUCCCCAGCGUGAUCCGAUCCGAGGACACUAUCAGGCCGGGAGUUUGACUGGGGCGGUACAUCUGUCAAAUAAUAACGCAGGUGUCCUAUGGUCAGCUCAGCGAGGACAGAAACCUCG